GAUAAAUUAAAGGGAAAAUUUUACUUUUACACUUUAUUGAGUACCACUUUUCAAAUAUACACUUAGAAAGAGGUCAUUUUCAUAAAUACACUUUUCAUUAAUGACCAAAAGACCAUACUAGCCCUAACCUUAUCUCUCUCUGGCGAUCCUCUUUUCUUCCUCUCUCUCGCGAUCUUUUUUCUUCCUCUCUGCCUCCGAUUCACCGGAGAUCCACCAUCUCUCUCUCGCGAUCUUUUUUCUUGUGGAUCUUCACUCUGUUUACGAGAAUCACUUUGUCUUGCGGAUCUUCACUCUGUUUUCGCAACGUUCUCGAUGGCUUGGGCUGCAGAUCUAGUUUGAGAGAGUAUAUUUGUGUGGUUAAAGGUUCAAAUCGAUCCUCGUUUGCUCUCAUUGGGUUCGAGAACCGGCAAAUUGAGGUGCUGUUGGCUUCAGACUCGAGAACCGGCGAAUUUCUAGUAUCAGCAGACGUUCUGCAAGGAUUGCUUACUGUGGUCUCUUCGCACUUUCCUUAAUCGUAUCAUGGAUUCUCCGUGAGGUUGCUGCUCCUCUCAUGGAGAAGCUUCCUUGGAUUAACCAUUUUCACAAUACACCUGAUCGGGAAUGGUUUGAGACUGAUGUUGUCUUGCGUGUCAGCUUAGGGAACUUCGUGUUUUUCUCGAUUUUAUAGGUUAUGAUGAUUGGUGUGAAGACUCAGAAAGACCCUCGUGAUGGCAUACACCACGGUGGUUGGAUGAUGAAAGUCAUCUGAAGAACUGAUUUUGGGUCUUGCUUAGAGUUAUAUAAUUUGGUUGCGAGGUCUUUCGAGUCCCUCCAAGCUUGAAGCCCCUUUAGUCUUUCCUCAAAUGCAGCCAUCACAGCUGGCCUGUGCUUGCUUCUUAGUUCCUGCAAUCUACUUUCGUUUAAAUCUUGGUAACCCAUGCAAGCCGUGAAAACUAGCUGGCUGCUAUCAAACGUUGAGCCAGUCAUUGAUUGAAGCAAAGUAAUCGCAUCUCCAGCGUCCUUGGUUGUAAUUAGUGUAGGACCUGUGUUUACUGGGUUUGUUUAGUAAGUCCAUAAGACUUAAUCACAUUAUAUAUCAAUAUGGACACUGACUGAGGUUUAACCGAGUACCAUAAAACUCCAAGUGCUGUUCUGAAAAAGCAUUACACGGUUUC